rnacentral:tRNA from 1 species
GCUGAUUUGGCUCAGUGGAUAGAGCAUCAGCUUGCGGACUGAAGGGUCCUGGGUUCGAUUCCAGGCAAGGGCA